ACUAGAGAGUAGACAAACAACAUUGUUUCGAUCAAACCCUAAUAAUUUCUUCAAAUCCACUUUCUAAUCUAUUGAUCUCUUGUUCAAUUCUUCUUCGAAUGGCUUCAAAUGGAACUGAAAAUAGCUUGGAGAAGAUUAAAAAGCAGCUCGCAUCAAGUUCUGGCAAGAAUCUAUUGCAAGGUCCAAUCCUUAAACGUUCUGAAACGUUGAGGAAAUGGAAUGAGAGAUGGAUGAUCUUAGACCCAACCACUGGAAAAAUGGAAUACAACCUAUAGGACUCGAAGAAAUGAGACGGUUGUCAAGGGGUCUAUUAUGUUUGAUGCAAAUAGCACAGUUACAUUAUCCCCUGUGAAUUUCCAGUGAGAUAAGUUCCCUUCUCUACAUGCUGCAGUGGACUGCC